UACGGAGGAUGCGAGCGUUAUCCGGAUUUAUUGGGUUUAAAGGGUGCGCAGGCGGAGGUGCAAGUCAGCGGUCAAAUUGCGGGGCUCAACCCCGUACUGCCGUUGAAACUGCAUCCCUUGAGUGCGCGAGAAGUAUGCGGAAUGCGUGGUGUAGCGGUGAAAUGCGUAGAGAUUAGGAAGAACACCAGUGGCGAAGGCGACUUACUGGACUGUAACUGACGCUGAGGCAUGAGAGCAUGGGGAGCAAACAGG
rnacentral:rRNA from 1 species